ACUUGAGGUUAGGGGUAAUAUGCCAAUCGAAACUGGAGAUAGCUGGUUCUCUCCGAAAUAUAUAUAGGUAUAGCGUCAAGUGUUGAGAUGCGGGGGUAAAGCUACUGGAUGAAUGUUUGUGGAGCAAUCUACGGCAUUUAACCAAACUCUGAAUACCGCAAAUUUAACUUGGCAGUCAGUCGGUCCGGGCUAAGCUGGAUCGGCAAGAGGGGAAGACCCCAGACUCUCAUCUAAGGUCUCUAAAUCUAUGUUAAGUGGAAAAGGGAGUGAUUUUUCUAAGACAGACAGGAGGUUGGCUCAGAAGCAGCCAUCCUUUAAAGAAAGCGUAAUAGCUCACUGUUCGACUCCGAUUUAUCGGAGUUGAAAGAUUGCACCAAAAAUGUAACGAGGCUAAAACAUAGUGCCGAAGAUGGAGAUUUGGUGCUUCGCACCUUGAGUUUAUAAAGUUAAAAGUUUUUAAAGUUUGUAAAGUAAAUAUCAAAAAUACUUUAUGGACUUUAUAACUUGAUAAACUUUUGAACUUCGAGCGCGGAGCGCGAGUAAUGUCGUGCCUAUUGAAGAAUGAGCCUGCGAGUGUUUCUAGUCAUCAAGUUUAAGCUCCGUAACGGAGUGGAGGCGUAGCGAAAGCGAGUGCGAAGAGCGCGAUUAGAUGGCUGGAUAUAACCCGAAACCAGUUGAGCUAACCUUGAGCAGGGCGAAUUUUGGCGAAAGCCAGGAGGAGGCCCGAACCGGUCAUUGCUGCAAAAAUGUCGGAUGACUUGAGGUUAGGGGUAAUAUGCCAAUCGAAACUGGAGAUAGCUGGUUCUCUCCGAAAUAUAUAUAGGUAUAGCGUCAAGUGUUGAGAUGCGGGGGUAAAGCUACUGGAUGAAUGUUUGUGGAGCAAUCUACGGCAUUUAACCAAACUCUGAAUACCGCAAAUUUAACUUGGCAGUCAGUCGGUCCGGGCUAAGCUGGAUCGGCAAGAGGGGAAGACCCCAGACUCUCAUCUAAGGUCUCUAAAUCUAUGUUAAGUGGAAAAGGGAGUGAUUUUUCUAAGACAGACAGGAGGUUGGCUCAGAAGCAGCCAUCCUUUAAAGAAAGCGUAAUAGCUCACUGUUCGAUCCCGACUUGUCGGGAUUGAAAGAUUGCACCAAAAAUGUAACGAGGCUAAAACAUAGUGCCGAAGAUGGAGACUCCGACUUGUCGGAGUGGUAGGAGAGCGUUCUGAUGACGGCGAAGGUUAAGGCGUAAGCUAAGCUGGAGUUGUCAGAAGUGAGAAUGCAGGCAUGAGUAACGAAAUCCCGGUGAGAACCCGGGACGUCGAAAUAUCCAAGGUUUCCUCAGCUACGUUGUUCGACUGAGGGUUAGGCGAUCCUAACAUGAGGCCCUGAUUAAUGGGGGCGUAGUGGAUGGACUACCGGUUAAUAUUCCGGUCCUUACUAAUAUUCGUUUUAAUUUGGGGUAUGACGGUGUAUGGAAGGUUUUGAGUCCAAGUGAUUGGGCUUUUAAGUGUUUAGCUAGAAGGGGUUGGAAAAUCCGCCUUUUCGUUUUAAAGUGAAGCACGAAUAGAAUCCUGAUUUAUCGGGAGACAAGACUAAAUCCAUGUACACAAGAAAAGUAUCGCAAAUAGAGUAUUGGUGAUCCGUACUAAAACCGACACUGGUGGAUAAGUCGAGAAGACUAAGACGAUUGGAAGAAAGAUGGUUAAGGAAAUCAGCAAAUUAACUGGGCGUAAGCUUUGCGAGAUGCCCUGCCCCGAGUAGUAUCGGGGUUACAACAAAAGAAUACACGGCGACUGUUUAGCAAAAACAUAGGUCCAUGCUAACCUGUAAGGGGAUGUAUAUGGGCCGAAACCUGACCGGUGCUAGAAGGUUAACUGAGAGAGUGAUUCCCGAUUUAUCGGGAUGAGCUUUUGAUUGAAGCCCUAGUGAACGUCAGCAGUAACUCUAACUGUUCUAAGGUAGCGAAGUCCUUUGUCGGGUAAGUUCCGACGCGUAUGAAAGGUUUAACGACUGUGUAACUGUCUUAAUCAUCUAUCCAGUGAAAUUGAAAGAGCGGUGAAGAUGCCGUUUAAUUACUACAGGACAAAGAGACCCCAUGAAGCUUUACUGGAUCUUUACAUUGACAAGAAUUUAAUGAUUGUUUAGUGUAGGAGGGAUCCUUCGGGAAACAAUGAAACACCUCCCUUUGUUAUUUUUGAGUCUAACCUGCUCCGAUGAAUCUCGGAGAGGGACCGUGUAUGGUUGCUAGUUUGCCUGGGGCAGGCACCUGCAAAAGAGUAACGCGGGUAUACAAAGGUCAACUUAGUCCGGCAGGAAAUCGGACUUUAAGUGUAAAAGCAAAAGUUGGCUUGACUGUGAGACUUACAAGUCGAAUCCCGAUUUAUCGGGAGUUUCAAUCAUUUAUUUAGUUUGGAUUCAGGGUCGAAAGACGGUUUUAGUGAUCCUCGUGACCUAUUUGGUAUAGGCACGGGCUUACUGGAUAAAAGCUACUCUGGGGAUAACAGGCUAGUCGCAUCCGAUAGUUCAUAUUGACGAUGCGGUUCGGCACCUCGAUGUCGACUUGGCGCAUCCUGGCCCUGAAGAAGGGGCCAAGGGUUGGUCUGUUCGCCCAUUAAAGCGCUGCGUUAGUUGGGUUCAGAGCGUCGCGAGACAGCUCGGUCUCUAUCCGUAGUAAUCGUUCGAUUCUUGAAGGGAUUCAUCUACAGUACGAGAGGACCUAGAUGAGGAAACCUCUGGUGUGCCAGUUGUGCUGUCAAGUGCAUCGCUGGGUAGCUACCGUUUCUAUAAGAUAACUGUUGAAAGCAUCUCAAACAGGAAACUGACCCUAAGAUAAGGAAUCGUUUU
rnacentral:rRNA from 1 species